rnacentral:rRNA from 1 species
AGAGUUUGAUCCUGGCUCAGGAUGAACGCUAGCGGCAGGCCUAACACAUGCAAGUCGAGGGGCAGCACGGUGUAGCAAUACACUGGUGGCGACCGGCGCACGGGUGCGUAACGCGUAUGCAACCUACCCAUAACAGGGGGAUAACACUGAGAAAUUGGUACUAAUACCCCAUAACAUCAGGACCGGCAUCGGUUCUGGUUGAAAACUCCGGUGGUUAUGGAUGGGCAUGCGUUGUAUUAGCUGGUUGGUGAGGUAACGGCUCACCAAGGCAACGAUACAUAGGGGGACUGAGAGGUUAACCCCCCACAUUGGUACUGAGACACGGACCAAACUCCUACGGGAGGCAGCAGUGAGGAAUAUUGGUCAAUGGACGCAAGUCUGAACCAGCCAUGCCGCGUGCAGGAAGACGGCUCUAUGAGUUGUAAACUGCUUUUGUACGAGGGUAAACGCUCUUACGUGUAAGAGCCUGAAAGUAUCGUACGAAUAAGGAUCGGCUAACUCCGUGCCAGCAGCCGCGGUAAUACGGAGGAUCCAAGCGUUAUCCGGAUUUAUUGGGUUUAAAGGGUGCGUAGGCGGUUUGAUAAGUUAGAGGUGAAAUCCCGGGGCUUAACUCCGGAACUGCCUCUAAUACUGUUAGACUAGAGAGUAGUUGCGGUAGGCGGAAUGUAUGGUGUAGCGGUGAAAUGCUUAGAGAUCAUACAGAACACCGAUUGCGAAGGCAGCUUACCAAACUAUAUCUGACGUUGAGGCACGAAAGCGUGGGGAGCAAACAGGAUUAGAUACCCUGGUAGUCCACGCAGUAAACGAUGAUAACUCGUUGUCGGCGAUACACAGUCGGUGACUAAGCGAAAGCGAUAAGUUAUCCACCUGGGGAGUACGUUCGCAAGAAUGAAACUCAAAGGAAUUGACGGGGGCCCGCACAAGCGGAGGAACAUGUG